GGAAGGAGAGAGAAUGAAAGAAAAGUUCCAUGAAUAAAAUAAAACCUGGCAACAUGGUAAUGAGUGGAGGAGAAUGGGCAAGCUAUUCUAGCAGGAUUGGCCAGGGAAAUCCUCUCUGAGAAGUGGUAAGUUGAGAGUUGGAUAAUGAGAAAAUUAUGUGGAUUAAGAGAAACAAAAACAAAACCCCCAAACAAGACCUAGAAUAAUCACUGAUGAAGGAGAGUGAUAAGAUUCAUCAUGAAGACACUUAGAGCAAAAAGGACUUAUUCCAUCUGCAAGUCUAACUCACUCAUUUCCUUUUCCAAAAGGAAACUGAAGCCCAGAGAGGUAAAGAGACUUACCUAAGGCCACUCAGAUAAUUAAUAACAUAGUUGGCAAGAGACUUUUAAGCUCCUGACUUCCAACUCUACUCCCUACCGGGUUUACCUUUUCUGGAUAUUUCAUAUAAAUGGAAUCACACAAUACAUUAGGAUUAGGUUGAGCAUCCCUCAUCUGAAAAUCCAAAAUCCAAGAUGCUCCAAAAUUCGAAACGUUUGAGCACCAAUGUGACACACAAGUGGAAAAUCCCAUACCUGAUGUCAUUCACGUGACGGGUCAAAGUCAAAAUGCGAGCAUACAACGCACAGUUUGUUUGGUGUUCCCAAGGAGAAAAAGAGCCUCCGAGCCCUCUUCAGUUGCAACAGGUCACAUCUGUGCACGGCCCAUUGCCCCCACAAGACAGCACGAAGGGCAGUGAAAUGGCAGGUGUGUGGGCCGAUGCACUAACCACAGGCUCCCCACCAAGCCCCACAGGGAGCCGAGACCUCUGUGCAUUACUCACCGGGUAUUCUGCUUGUUCUCUGCUCUGUGGUGUAAAGAUACUGUUGUUGGACAUGGCAAAAAGGCCUACGGAUAUCCGCAUGGGUAACAGUGAUAAGAUAAAGAAGAAAAAUAGGAAACUUUUUUGAUAAUCUACAGCACAGAAAAUCAAACUGUUGGAGAAACGGGACAGCAGUGUGAGUGUGAAACAUUUUGCAGAAGGGCAUGGGGUUAGAAUGACCACUAUGUAUGACUUGAAGA